rnacentral:rRNA from 1 species
UACGUAGGGGGCAAGCGUUUGUCCGGAUUUAUUGGGCGUAAAGAGCGUGUAGGCGGCCAGGUAGGUGGGUUGUGAAAACUGGAGGCUCAACCUUCAGAGGUCGACCCAAACCCCCUGGCUAGAGUCCGGAAGAGGAGAGUGGAAUUCCUGGUGUAGCGGUGAAAUGCGCAGAUAUCAGGAAGAACACCCGUGGCGAAGGCGGCUCUCUGGGACGGUACUGACGCUGAGACGCGAAAAGCGUGGGGAGCGAACAGG